UUGGGUCAAGCUACUAAGGGCGUACGGUGGAUGCCUUGGCAUCGGUAGGCGAUGAAGGACGUGGUAAGCUGCGAUAAGCUCCGGUGAGGCGCAAACAGCCUUUGACCCGGAGAUCUCCGAAUGGGGAAACCCGGUGCGGCAUGACCGCAUCACGCUUCGGUGAAUCCAUAGCCGGAGCGGGCCAACGGGGUGAACUGAACCAUCUUAGUAACCCCAGGAAAAGAAAGAAAAUUCGAUUUCCUCAGUAGCGGCGAGCGAACGGGAAACAGCCCAAACCCAGCCGUGUGCAAGCCGGCACGCGUUGCACGGCGGGGGUCGUGGGAUCCAGUCUGACCCGAGUGCCGAGAGGGUCGGAGAGUUACAAAGGCUGCGGCUAGUCGAAGCGCUCUGGAAAGUGCCGCCACAGACGGUGACAGCCCGGUAGGCGAAAGCUGACAGCCCUCUCCCGACUGGACACCCAAGUACCAUGGGACACGUGGAAUCCUGUGGGAAUUCGGGAGGACCAUCUCCCAAGGCUAAAUACUCACCGAUGACCGAUAGUGAACAAGUACCGUGAGGGAAAGGUGAAAAGAACUCCUGGCGGAGAGUGAAAUAGUACCUGAAACCGUAUGCCUACAAGCAGUGGGAGGGCGCUCCGGGUCUUCGGACCUGGUCCCGCCUGACCGCGUGCCUUUUGCAUAAUGAGCCGGCGAGUUAAUCUGCGCAGCGAGGUUAAGUGCCUUACGGCACGGAGCCGCAGCGAAAGCGAGUCUUAACAGGGCGUUCAGUUGCGUGGAUUAGACCCGAAACCGAGUGAUCUACCCAUGGCCAGGACGAAGCGCAUGUAACAGUGCGUGAAAGGCCGAACCGACCAGGGUUGAAAACCUGGCGGAUGAGCUGUGGGUAGGGGUGAAAGGCCAAUCAAACUCGGCGAUAUCUGGUUCUCCCCGAAACAGGUUUAGGCCUGGCCUCGCGUGUUGUGUGACGGAGGUAGAGCACUGACUGGGCUAGGGGGCCUACAAGCCUACCAAACCCAUUCAAACUCCGAAUGCCGUUCACAUUAGCGCGGGAGUCAGACUACGAGGGAUAAGCUUCGUGGUCGAAAGGGAAACAGCCCGGACCGCCAGCUAAGGUCCCCAAGUGCAGGCUAAGUGUAAAAGGAUGUGGAGUUACACAGACAACCAGGAUGUUGGCUUAGAAGCAGCCAUCAUUUAAAGAAAGCGUAACAGCUCACUGGUCAAGUGAUUCCGCGCCGAAAAUUCAUGGGACUCAAGUCUGCCACCGAAGCUGCGGGCUCGUGCUUUGCACGAGCGGUAGGGGAGCAUUCCACGGUAGGUCGAAGGUGGAUCGGCAAGGUCUGCUGGACGAAGUGGAAGCGAUUAUGCCGGCAUGAGUAGCGAUAAGAGAGGCGAGAAACCUCUCCACCGAAAGCCUAAGGUUUCCUGAGGAAGGCUAAUCCGCUCAGGGUAAGUCGGCCCCUAAGCCGAGGCCGAAAGGCGUAGGUGAUGGGAAUCCGGUCAACAUUCCGGAACCACCGGACGUGCGUUUGUACGAUGGGGUGACGCAGGAGUGAAAGGCCAGCCGGGCGAUGGUUGUCCCGGUUCAAGCAGGUAGGUGGACCGUCCAGGAAAAUCCGGAUGGUCGUUACACCGAGAUGCGAUGACGAGUCCUCUGGACGCAAAGUGGUCCUAAGCAUACUGCCAAGAAAAACCUCUAAGGAGUACGUUCGGUGACCGUACCGUAAACCGACACAGGUAGGCGAGAUGAGUAUUCUAAGGUGCUCGAGAUAACCCUCGCUAAGGAACUCGGCAAAAUAGCCCCGUAACUUCGGAAGAAGGGGUGCCUCCUUCGGUGACGGACUUCGCGUCCCGAGCUGGGGGAGGUCGCAGUGACCAGGCUCGAGCGACUGUUUACCAAAAACACAGGUCUCUGCUAAGUCGAAAGACGACGUAUAGGGACUGACACCUGCCCGGUGCCGGAAGGUUAAAGGGAUGUGUUAGCCCGCAAGGGCGAAGCACUGAACUGAAGCCCCGGUAAACGGCGGCCGUAACUAUAACGGUCCUAAGGU
rnacentral:rRNA from 1 species